GAUUUCUGAGAGCAGCUACACCUUGUCUAAGGACUUGUAUUUCUGCCCAGGUUAUUUUAUCGAGGAAGUUCCACAAAGUAGAAUCCAACAAGCUUCUUUCUGACUUUGAUUUCUUACCCAAGACUUUGUUUGGAUAUCUUUUUAUUUUUGAAAAGAUGUUAUCCAACAUGUGUGAGGUUUAGAGAGUGAAUUAGAACAAGUGUACUCAUAUGUUUCAUUUGACUUUCUGAAGAUUGAAAGAAUAUAUGUAACAGUGAUAUACAUUUAGUAUAACUUUCAUGAAAUUCUGAACUAUUUAAUAUUAACAGUUUUAAAUUUUCAAAACAAAAAAGCAACAGAUAAUCCAAGAUUUAGCUCACGUGUCAGAGUCAUUAAUUUUACAAGUGAUAUCGAAGCAAGCUAGAAUAUGAAACAUUGCUACUUUUUUUUCAAACUGCAGUGCAGUUUAACAUAUAACACAAAACAGCUUCUUGUGAAGAACAGCUAGAGAGUAUAUAGAAUUAAUAAAACUGAUAUGGAUCAAACUAUCCAUUAUAUGGUAUGAAUAAAUACAGAAUAAUAUUUAGGAAUGG
rnacentral:misc_RNA from 1 species